GUCCCCGUAGCUCAACUGGAUAGAGCGGUUCCGUCCUAAGGAAAAGGUUGGGGGUUCAAUUCCCUCCGGGGACG
rfam:Candidatus Thrbacteria bacterium RIFCSPLOWO2_01_FTLL_53_9 rifcsplowo2_01_scaffold_93730, whole genome shotgun sequence.